CUUUAAAUGACAGCCCACUGGAAAACAGAAUGUAGCAGAAGAGAUGCAGUUCAGUGAGAAGGAAGCAGAGAACCCAGCCUCACAAGGCUUUUCUGGCCCAGUUAUUGAAGAGUUCGCUACUACAUCAGUAAAAACAACAUUAACAUGUAUUCAACAAGAGCAUCUGCCUUUGUUUUCACUCCCAAUCAUGAGAGACAUGGUAAUAAAUGCAGGCUUUCUCUUGAAGAGAUUACAAUAUUCUAAAGAAAUGACUAAACUCUCAAAGUGCUUGGUCUUCAUGAAUUUCAAGAAGUUUAGCCAGGACCACAAGUGAGACAAUUAGCGCUUUGCAAAAGAGGAAAUCUGCAAGUAGGGGCCUCACAUCAAGUAAGUGGCAAAGUGGGCGAUACACAAUUCUAUUUUUUCAGGCUUUCAGAUCAGCAUUCAAGCAGUGUAAAGGCUUUGGCCCAUUUAGCUACAACACAGGCACACCUGCCAUCCUGCAGAAGUUACACUGCAUCAGCCUCAGGAACACAGGAGUAAGAAAAAGACUAGUUACAGAAAACCUAAAACAUAACCACUUCCCUGCUCGCACCGUCCACACAUUCACCUCCAGAGAAUAAAAUUAAGAAAAUUACAGGAUAUACAGGUUCUGAGACACUGACAGUGUCUGAAAGAGUGAGUUAAAUGGUUAUAUAUAUUCCACCAUAAUAUCCCCCCCCAAAUCCAAGGACACAGCACACAAGUGUUCCUCACACUACUUGCUCCCUACUGAAAAAUAUCCAUGUUCACAGCAACAUAGGCCCAGCAAAAUCAAAACAAAGAAAGAGACAAGGGCGAAGAACCAUAGCAAACUCAACCACCAACAACUGAGCCAAGAGUUCAAUCACAACAGUUCUGUAGGGUCAGAAUACUACAAAGCUUGCUACCGUUCAUCUGCAGGGGUCGAUCUGGGGCCAAGUAAACACUGACAUAAAGCCACAGUCAGCUUCACUCUGACAUCAUAUCUUCUAGUUUAAGAAAUGGUAAUACAGUAUAAACCUGGACUUAACCAAAAUUCCCAUCCUUUCAAAACAUCUUUUUCAGACAUGUUUAUUUUCCAGGAACACAGACCUGAGGUUAGCUAUGGAUACCUGCUAUCCGUGAAUCCCGAAGUUCUAUCCGUGAAUCCUCUGCUCUCCCCAAGGGAACAACCAGAAACUCAGCACUUCUCAAAAGGUUUCUCUCCUCUGUUCUUUCCUACCUUCAUCCAUAACCUUCAAGGUGGUGUUUGGGGCUUUUUUACCCCAAUUCACCUUUCUAGUCCAAACAAGCCACUAUACCGGGUAUGUAUUUAACUUGCUUCCAAAGGCCCUCAGAAACACAUCCACACUACCUGGGUGUGAUCCAGAGCUGGACUCAAUGAUCCUGGUGGGUCCUUCCAACUCAGAAUAUUCUGUGAAACUGGGUUUGUGCAUGUUUCUCACUACUCUGUGGAAUACCUCAUAUAAAAAGGGGAACUGUAGAUGUAAGAGCCUUCACCUGGCUUUAGCAUUCUGUGCAGUGAGAAGACCUCAUCACUCACACGUGUAUGAGAAUGCUCGGCCCCCCCUAACCCCCCCGUGGUUAUGAAAUUUGGCAUGAAUAUCCAAAAACAGUUGCUUCUCUUUCAAAUCCAGCACAUUGAGAAGAUGCUAGAAGUACUGUUACAGGGAGGUUACAUUUCACUGUACAGUUCUGCCUACUCCACAGCCGGUGGGGAAUGGUGCAACAAGAUACUGUGCAGGCAGAUCAAGCAGCACUGCCAGGAAUCCCAACAAAUGCCCAAACAGGCUUCCCACGGGCUUGCACUUUAGGGACGGGUGGCAACACCGUUUCCCCCCCCUCCAUCCUAUUAUUGCUGCUGCUACUACUAUGAUGCAUUAACAGCUAAUCAUAAUAAACCUGUGCCAUACAUAACUUCAUCACUGUGAAAUCAUUAAACAGCACUGUUCAGAGAA